GUCCUGAAGGGGGGGGGGUCCUAAUCCCAUUUCCCACCUGAAAUUUUGGCAAAAUCCCAGUCCCAGUUGGAUUUUUAUUAGAAAUCCCAGUCCCAGUUAUUGAAAUCCCAGUCAAUAAAAACCCCUUUAUUUAUUGGUAGAAUAAACAGUUUUAAGACCUUUUAAGCAAGUGGCGGACACUUUAUGAAAUAUUAGGGGGGUGCUCGUGCCGAAAGCACGGAAAAUUUUUAAAUUUGAAUCCCGGAAAUGGCAUUUGCAGCAUUCUGAGACACGCAUAAUCAGAAAACCCAGAAUUGCGGGCGCCAGAGUAUGCCUGUUCGCAGGUAGCGCUGUGAAUAAUAUAGUUAACAACAAAAAUCAUGACCAAAGACACCAAAAACGG